rnacentral:rRNA from 1 species
GUGAGGAAUAUUGGACAAUGGGCGCAAGCCUGAUCCAGCCAUGCCGCGUGCAGGAAGACGCAUCUAUGGUGUGUAAACUGCUUUUGUACGGGAAGAAACACUCCCUCGUGAGGGAGCUUGACGGUACCGUAAGAAUAAGGAUCGGCUAACUCCGUGCCAGCAGCCGCGGUAAUACGGAGGAUCCAAGCGUUAUCCGGAAUCAUUGGGUUUAAAGGGUCCGUAGGCGGUUUAAUAAGUCAGUGGUGAAACCCCAUCGCUCAACGAUGGAACGGCCAUUGAUACUGUUAGACUUGAAUUACAAGGAAGUAACUAGAAUAUGUAGUGUAGCGGUGAAAUGCUUAGAUAUUACAUGGAAUACCAAUUGCGAAGGCAGGUUACUACUUGUGGAUUGACGCUGAUGGACGAAAGCGUGGGGAGCGAACAGGAUUAGAAACCCUAGUAGUCC